AGGCGGGGGUGAGCGCGUACACGGCACCCUAUUUCCAGCGUUCCUAGCGGCGGAGGGCCGCAACUCGUGUUUUGACGUCUGCCAGGCUUUGAUAAAACGCUCACCCCCGCCUGAACUAGCUCACUGCUGCGUUUUAAAUUUCAACAGUGCUUUGAAAUUGUUACUUUUUGUCUUCGUGUUUGGCGAAGAUGACAUCCUGCAUCUGAGAUCUAAAUAGCUACUUUAAAAAAUAGUUUAAUAGGCACACUGACAAAAUGAUUCGUAAGGGCCGUAAACCAACUCCACAAAGUGAAGAGGAAAGGCUUCAGCAAGAGAAGGAAAAAGAAGAAAGUCAGCUAAGAAAGGCGGCUAACCGAAAUGCAGCAAAACGAGCGAAACGAGAACCCAAGUUCAACAUGGGUCCUGUUUAGGGCAUGCAAAGGAGUUAACUGAGAAGUCAGUGACCAACAACCAAGAACGGCAACUCAAACAGCAAGCCCAACAAAGUUCUCAUAAAACCCAACCACAAUACAACACAAAGAGCAGCAGCUCAGCUGAUUAUUAGUGCACAUAAUCCAUCCUUUUUUAUUGUCCCUAAUUAAUCAUCUAAUUGUGUGACAGGUAAUGAAGACUUGGAUUGUUUAGCGGAUCCAGAAGGCAUGGAUCAAGCACGAAUGGACCACUCAUAUGCCAAUGAAAACACAGUGAACUCUUCAGUGUUUGAUCAAGGAUCAAAGGAAAAUGCCAUCCAGCAGUUGCGAGAGAAGCUGAAAGAAUUGAUGAUUGCUUCUGAAUUGGAAGCCAAUCAAGCCAUAGCUGACUCCGUGUCCUCUGAAAUAAAAGAAAAGAAAAAAAGAAAAUCUGAAGAAAAGGAUCUUGAUUGUUUGUGGACUGAUGUUGAGUCCCUUGCUUUCAAAGCUUUUGAGCAUCACCAUGGCAUUAGGGGAUUCAGUUGCAAGAACUGUGGUGA
rnacentral:misc_RNA from 1 species